GGGGGAGAAGGGGAUUUCGCACCGGUUCAGACCAAUCCGGUGCAAAAUAGCGAUUUAGCACCGGUUCAAACCGGUGUGAAAUUACAAAAAAAAAUCGGCCUGCCCUUCUUCAUUCUCUUUCCCGUUCUUUUUCCAUUCCAUUCUCUCUUUUCUCUCUCCUCAUAUGCUCUCCUAUCUCUCCUCAACAAAACCUUCAGCCGCAGCCGCAACCACCGCCGCUCACAGAUUCUCUCUCCCCUUUUCUUUUCGUGCUCUCUCAUCUAGCCUCCUUUUACCCUAUCAUUAGGGUUUAUCGCCCUUGUUAUACCUCUAAAUCUCAAUCUCAUAUCCAAUCACCUUUCUCUAAUUUCUAGGGUUUCGAAUUACAUUGAUUCUGCAAUAAUUGGAGGCUGGAGUUGGUGGUGAUUAAAUUGAUGAUGUUGAACUCAUAGAGGCAAACUAAUAUCAGCAGGCUACACUUCUUCUUUCUUGUGGUUUCUUCAUCUUGCUCGAUCUUUCACUCUAUGUUACUCUCCUAAUUAAAGUUGAAGGGCUAGCUGAAUUUUUGGCAAAUCAAGAUUUUGAAACCCAGGGAUCCCCUGAAAGAUUAGCGGAUUAACUCAUCUGAUUAAAAGUUGUUGCUGCAUUUUAGUUAGAUUUGUAGAUUUGAGGGAUAAAGUGGAUUAUCAAUGAGGUUGAGCAUUUGAUGAAUGGGUUGGAAGAUACGUAUUGAUGAACUGCCAGGUGUAAAGAUCUGGGCUGAAGUUUCCUUUGUUUUCGUGUUCGUUUCUCUGCUGCAUUUUGCCUAUGGGUCAACAAAUCCCAGUGAUGUUAUGGAUAUCUCUCGAAGCAAAUACUGCAAAAUCUAUAUUCAAUAUGAAGAUUCAAGAUCCAACAAGAGUUAUUUGUGUCUUUAGGGAGAUUGAGUCUUGGUCACACUAUGUACAUCUCUGGUUUAAAAUACGCCAAGACAAAACACAAGGGUAUAGAAGCACGAUGGUUUAAAAAUGGUCCUAAAACUUCCUUUGUCAACCUAAGCUGCUUGUCUGCAAUUUUGAACUCAUCUUGUCUCCACAAGCAUUCUUACCUUGCUGCUGUGUCAAGGCAGAAUACUUGUACACAUAUUUGCAGGGUGUUGCUGGACCAAAUUGAAUACUGUCAUGUUAAUACAAGAUUGGCACAUGUUACUUGUGGUCAUUUUAUCAAGACAACUGCAAGUGGUUCUGUUGAAUGUUAAUUUCGUUGCUGUAGCUGUGAGACGAAAACUAGACACACUUUCCAUGUAAAAAUAACUGUGGCUGAUGAUAGUGGUAAAGUCUUUGCAUGGUGUACUGGUCAAAAUUCGAUUUAACUACUUCAAAUAUCUCUAGAUGAAUUCUAUGAAUUGCCUGAGGAGGAACAAGUUAUUUACCCAUGUUCGCUGGAGAACGAAAGAUACAUGAUAGCAAUUGUGAACUGUGGUUAGCAGGAAACCAUCUUUAAGGAAUGUGUGACUGCAGAAAAUGAGAUGGUAUACUUGAUCUUCAUUUCAAAUUUCUGAUUUCCUUAUUGAAUUGCAAUAAAAAUUCCAACCUUGUAUUUUAUUUUACUGUAUAUUUUUUUUUUUGGACGAAAAUUGUAAUAUUACACCCUAUUUUAAU